UCCGAGUUGACCCCGGCAGUCUCCUAUGAGUCCCCGGCCGAACCGCUGGCAACAUAGAACGAGGGUUGCGCUCGUUGCGGGACUUAACCCAACAUCUCACGACACGAGCUGACGACAACCAUGCACCACCUGUAUACCGACCUUGCGGGGCGACUGUUUCCAGACGUUUCCGGUAUAUGUCAAGCCUUGGUAGGGUUCUUCGCGUUGCAUCGAAUUAAGCCACAUGCUCCGCCGCUUGUGCGGGCCCCCGUCAAUUCCUUUGAGUUUUAGUCUUGCGACCGUACUCCCCAGGCGGAGUGCUUAAUGCGUUAGCUGCGGCACAGAAAGGGUUGAAGACCUCCCCACACCUAGCACUCAACGUUUACGGCUGGGACUAC
rnacentral:misc_RNA from 1 species